GGUCUUUUGGUGUAAUGGUUGCACAGUAUUCCUUCAAGAUAUUAGGUAUCAGUUCAAAUCUGAUAAAGACUA
rnacentral:tRNA from 1 species